rnacentral:tRNA from 1 species
GCGUCGGUGGCACAGCGGUAGAGUGUUCGCCUACCACGCAUGUGGUCCGGGGUUCGAUCCUCGGCCGACGCC